rnacentral:rRNA from 1 species
UACGAAGGGGGCUAGCGUUGCUCGGAAUCACUGGGCGUAAAGGGUGCGUAGGCGGGGCUUUAAGUCAGGGGUGAAAUCCUGGAGCUCAACUCCAGAACUGCCUUUGAUACUGAAGAUCUUGAGUUCGGGAGAGGUGAGUGGAACUGCGAGUGUAGAGGUGAAAUUCGUAGAUAUUGGGAAGAACACCGGUGGCGAAGGCGGCUCUCUGGACCGAGACUGACGCUGAGGCGCGAAAGCGUGGGGAGCAAACAGG